GACGAACGCUGGCGGCGUGCCUAAUACAUGCAAGUAGAACGCUGAAGAGAGGAGCUUGCUCUUCUUGGAUGAGUUGCGAACGGGUGAGUAACGCGUAGGUAACCUGCCUUGUAGCGGGGGAUAACUAUUGGAAACGAUAGCUAAUACCGCAUAACAAUGGAUGACACAUGUCAUUUAUUUGAAAGGGGCAAUUGCUCCACUACAAGAUGGACCUGCGUUGUAUUAGCUAGUAGGUGAGGUAACGGCUCACCUAGGCGACGAUACAUAGCCGACCUGAGAGGGUGAUCGGCCACACUGGGACUGAGACACGGCCCAGACUCCUACGGGAGGCAGCAGUAGGGAAUCUUCGGCAAUGGGGGCAACCCUGACCGAGCAACGCCGCGUGAGUGAAGAAGGUUUUCGGAUCGUAAAGCUCUGUUGUAAGUCAAGAACGAGUGUGAGAGUGGAAAGUUCACACUGUGACGGUAGUUUACCAGAAAGGGACGGCUAACUACGUGCCAGCAGCCGCGGUAAUACGUAGGUCCCGAGCGUUGUCCGGAUUUAUUGGGCGUAAAGCGAGCGCAGGCGGUUUGAUAAGUCUGAAGUUAAAGGCUGUGGCUCAACCAUAGUUCGCUUUGGAAACUGUCAAACUUGAGUGCAGAAGGGGAGAGUGGAAUUCCAUGUGUAGCGGUGAAAUGCGUAGAUAUAUGGAGGAACACCGGUGGCGAAAGCGGCUCUCUGGUCUGUAACUGACGCUGAGGCUCGAAAGCGUGGGGAGCGAACAGG
rnacentral:rRNA from 1 species